AAUCCCACGGACAAAAAUCAUAAGAUGACAUGCAUCCGUCCUAUCAAUCGACUCGUCCAGACAAACUCUUCCACGCGUCUGCCAAUUGUGAACCGAGACAAUGGCAGCCUCCUGAGCCGUUCAGCUGCUGAUGAUUCACCCAUCAAAUCUAAGACAUCGGCAAUAUUGUCCCUCCAGAAGCUAACAUCGCUGUACGACUUUUCUCCCAAGGCACAGCGAUAACUCAGCAGAGUUACUGGAUCAGAAAGAUCUAAGUGGGUAGAGGGAUUUUUGACGUCACCAGUUUCGAUUCCUUCUUCACAUCCAAGCGAUGAACUAGGGUUUUCUGUUUCAUUGCGACAUUGACUUUUAUGAUUUUCACGCCAGUGCUUUGCCAAUCUAUAAGGCCUAUCUUCACCUAAAAAGGGAAAUAUAUAUACAUCAAAAUAUAUAUCUAAAAAACAAAAAAGGGAAACAUAGGGUAAGUGUGCCAAAUUCCGGCCAGCUUGCAAUUUCGGCCACCUUUUUUGUUCCUCGAAUUUCCAUGAACGUUUAGAUUUUACGUACUCUAGAGAUUAUACAAUGCAAAAGAAUAACAAAAAAUGUAGCUUUGCCAAACGAGAUGACGUGAAAAAGACAUUGGAAGAAUUUCCGAAGGGCAAGGAACUAUGAGAAUGAAGGUGGCCGAAAUAGGGCACCACAGCUAUGACUACAUUUUUAUUCAUUUUAAAAUGUGUUAAGAAUGAUUUUAGAGUAAAUAAAGACGGUAAACUCUUUACAAGGUUCCAAGCAACACUCUUCCAGAAGAAAGAUUAAAAAAAAAUCAAUUUGUAUUUUAAAUAUUACAUUUCUAACUUGAAACUUUGACGCUUGCAUGCAACUAUGCCGAAAUUUGGCACACUUACCCUAUAUAAACAUCAAAAUAUUUAUCUAGUAAUAUGAAAAGACCAAACGGGCGUUAGAAUACUAAAUCGUUUCUUUCUUUGACUGUCUGUCAGAAGGUUAUCGAAUACGUAAAUGGGGUCUCGGUAGCUCAAUAGGCAAAGUGUUGGCUUUGUGACGCAGAGGCCCUCGGUUCGAUCCUUGAUCGAAGCGCGUCCGGUGAAUAAUUGGAAAACAAUUUUUCACCGUCCUUAAAAGCUCCAAAUUGAACGCAAAAAUAUCAAGAAGGAAGUAUGAUAAAAGAUAAGGGAGCAAAAAAUAGGAUUUGUGAUGGAGCAAAAAGAAAAAUGAUAAGGAGAGAUGAGUAAAUAAGAGUGAGCGAAAUGGCUAAUAUGGACCUGAUUGAGUCUGACAGCCAAAAACAUAAAAAGAAGAGAGAGAGAGAGAGAAUAUGUAAAUGUGAUGUGAUACAAAAUUUAAAAAUUUUACAAAUUUUAUUAGAAAAAAUAUACUACACACUAAAAAAGACUGUACAACUUUAAUGAGUAUAAGAAUAAUGAUGUUACAUAAUUACAAAACAAAUACGAAUCUAUUAAAAUAAUUUCGAUCUUGUCUAAUCAAAAAGUCAAUCAUUAUCAACGACUUAUUAAUAUGUCAUAUUUGCAUAUUACCUUAAAAAACAACAUACACUCAGUCCCGGCAUUAAGUCUUUCGGGAUUAUGCACCUGACGGAAUUAUGCACACACAAUUAUGCAGGAUUGCCUACCCUUAGGAGUCAAGUUAUGAGAUCAUUUUUGAAAUACGCCUGAAUGUAUACUAUUUUGCGACUCGGGAAAUUUGAAAACAAUUUGCUACUCUUUCAGAAUAAAAGUUUAAUUUCUUUUAUUAAG